rnacentral:rRNA from 1 species
UGGGGAAUAUUGCACAAUGGGCGCAAGCCUGAUGCAGCCAUGCCGCGUGUGUGAAGAAGGCCUUCGGGUUGUAAAGCACUUUCAGCGGGGAGGAAGGCGAUAAGGUUAAUAACCUUGUCGAUUGACGUUACCCGCAGAAGAAGCACCGGCUAACUCCGUGCCAGCAGCCGCGGUAAUACGGAGGGUGCAAGCGUUAAUCGGAAUUACUGGGCGUAAAGCGCACGCAGGCGGUCUGUCAAGUCGGAUGUGAAAUCCCCGGGCUCAACCUGGGAACUGCAUCUGAUACUGGCAAGCUUGAGUCUCGUAGAGGGGGGUAGAAUUCCAGGUGUAGCGGUGAAAUGCGUAGAGAUCUGGAGGAAUACCGGUGGCGAAGGCGGCCCCCUGGACGAAGACUGACGCUCAGGUGCGAAAGCGUGGGGAGCAAACAGG